UCCUGCUACCCUUAAGUAGCAUGUGGUUUAUGGCCCUUCCCCCCAAGCGAGGUGCAUGGUGUGGUGCCUGCACGUAUGGAAAUACUGGCAGCGCUGGGUAUUAAUGUGUAUUUUUAACUUCCUGGAAACUCAUAAAACUAUUUCCUUCAAAAGCAUCGGCUCCUGUUCCUGUCCAGAGCUCAAAAGCCCAGAGGUGCCUGCUUAAAUCUGAAUGAGGAUGAUGUGACAUUGGGAACAUGAAGGGCUUGUUUUCUGAGCUACUUGGCCUCAGCUCUGUAAACAGAUGCCUUGUUUGGAGCAGGUUCAGCUGUGAUGGUUUGUGUCUUGGCACAGCUGAUUCAUUUCAUUGGCAUCUGCAGACAUUGCCCAGGGCUCUUGUCCCAUAGGUUUGGGACCCUGCUGCUCCUUGGGCUUCACUCUUGGUUCCUGAUCCUUUUCCACCUGCUAGUUGCCAAAGUGUUAACCUAGUCCAAAUAGCAAAAAGGCAGUGAGGAGGAGGAGAACCCACCCAUCUUUUGUAUAACCAGGUUUUUAGGGACUCAAGGAGGCUGGAAUAGGAUCUGACCCUUUGUUCAGCUUCUGUCACAAAGGGCAUAGGCAGACACAUGCCCACCUGUGUGGAUGCUGGCUAAUUGAUCACCACACAGGUUAAGAAAACGCAGUGAUCCUACUAAGCAUGGCAUUAAGGUCAGUAUGCGAUCUACACCUAUCUCUUUCCUUUGGUUUGAGCUCUGCGUUCCUCCUGUUUUACCAUCGUCCUUCAGACUCGCUGUUAAUCCAGUCACUCAAAAAUGCAGUCUGGAUUCUGGCAGGAAAAAGCUGGCGAGCUCUGGGCGCGCAGGGCCCUUCACUUGGCAUUACAUAAGGGCCCUUGGCAUUUCCCACCUGUUACUUUCACUGAUGUGGUUAAUAGGGGGAAAGAAAGUGUUGCCAAAUCCCUUUUAACAGAUGGCUGGAGCUUGCACUCGGCUGUGAGGCGGCCUUUCUCUGUAUGCAACCAGGAAAUAUAGAUUGGAAAAUAUUAGCAUGUACGACUGAGGUAUGCGAGGUGAAAGCAAACAGCCAGUGGGCACAAAGCAAAAACCUCUCCAAGUUCUUCACUCGGUCGGUCCGUGAGCUGAUCAAAUUAAGCCAUAACUGUGUAAAGGGAACGUGAGUUUGUUUGCUGUGUUGGCCUGGUCAUGCAUUCAGGACGCUCAGAGCGGUGUAACUAUAGCUCAGGAGGUAUUAGUCACGCUGAGAGGAACUUGGUGAAAAUAAGCAGGCUUCAUCUGGGCAGUUGCCAGGGCAACACUUGCUAAUAUUUCACUACAAAGCUUCCCUCCCUCCUAGUUGCAGAGGUCGGGAACAGGAGUCCCAGCAAUAGGCAAGAGGAGCCGAUUGUCAUCAAGCACUUGUCCCCGAAGCAAUAACAAGCUCCGAUCAGCCGAGAGAAACCUCUGAGAAGGAGCUCAUUGCAACAAGGCUUGAAGCAUAAACGCUGCCCGUCUUGCGAGAGGGCUGCGGUGCAUGGAGGAGGAACAGGCUUGCUUUGCCUUUGUUUUGCUGCCACACCUGUGGGUGUUUCAGCAUGGCCGUAUCUAGGCUGGUUUCAGCCCCAUGUCUUCAAGGGGCUCUGUGCUUACUGCUAAAAAUGGCCACAAAGAGGAACGCUUCAAGCAUCCCUUUGCUCUGCACCAGAGGUCACUGGGUUCCUGCAGUGCAUCCUAUGUCAGGGGUUCCUUAUAUGUCCAGACAACUCAAACAGAGGUACUGUACAGAGAGAGGACAGACGAGGGAAAGCAGCAUGGGCAGCAACCUUGACACUGCUUGAAUGGCCCCCUUCAGCACCUGCAAAAUACUGACUUCAGCUGAAAAAAAAAACCCAAACACAGUCCCCGUAUAUCAAGCAGAGUUUGCAUCUACCAGAUGAAGAAUAGAACAAGGAACUUGGCUAUUGCAUUUAUAUGUGGAAGAAAGGCCCCUGGAUCUGAUGAUGAUGAUGAUGGGCUGCAGUAUAAAUCCAUAAGGCAGAUAGAUAAGAGUAGAUCACUGGAUGUUGAGUUAAAUCCUCUCAGGAUACUCUCUGAAGUCAACCCAACCCGUUCUUUCUACUGCCUGGGGAGAACUUUCAGGCCACAGGCCUGAGGUAGUCACUGGAGAAGUUCAGGCCAAGUCUCUGCCAUUCAUCCUGUACUUCCCAUGCAUUGGGCAUAAAGUUGCUUCCCACAUUCCAGACCUGCUCUGUAAGGGAUGAAUGGAGAAACCCUUCAUUUUUAACAUUUUUUAAACAUUGCAUUGAACCUCUGGAACAGCUGGCACCCUUCAGAAGCCCCACGGUUCUAAUUACUUCUGGGAAAACGCAUGCAAGCCAACAGAGAAGCUGCUGGGGAGCCAAAAACACUGCGGCUUUAUGUUUGGAACAUGGUCGUGGUCCCAUUGCCAUUUGGCUCAAUGUAUAUAUU